UUAGGUGGAACCCAUACGAUACUCUGGCAGUAUGUACGAGAAGGAGUCGGUUGCUAUCUUUGGUUAUCUAGCUGUAUGAGUGUUACUCGGCCGUCAUAAAGCUAGCUAACCGAAAGUAGGAAUGUCCUCCAAACCUGCGACUCGGACAGGAAUAAAUGGUGUCUGGGAGUAAAGACACAAAAUAACAUAAUUGAUAUGCAAUUACAGGCCAAUACCUCAGUGCCUUUCCGGUUGAUCCAGUGCCCUUGUCACUGCAGUGGCUGCCUGAGAUACACACAGAAACUCUGCAGUGUGAACAGCACACGCUGUCUACUAUAUGUGACUGCCAGCCAUUCACACCAGGUCUGGAUUGAGCGAGGGAAAAGUGGCACAGUCGUCACAAAAAAGGAGAAAGCAGGAGGGGAAGAAAAAGGCCAACCCCCUUGUCCCUCUUCCCUUAAAUCUCCAUCACCGGAAGCCUUUGGUGCCAUCUGUGCCCCCGGAGAAAAGGACGGACGAGAUGCCUCCACCCUGUGCCAACGGGGACAAAGGAGCUGCCAGUUAGAGCGGCCCCCCUCGCAGGCAACCAGAGGACUCUGUGUGACUGACUGGGGCUGAGCUACGGAAGCCAUCUUGAUGGAGAGUCUUGCUGCUGCUCCUAAAAUGGCUGUGUUGGCAUGAGGUCCUGCUGGUGUUGACAACCUCCAGAGGAAGCCUCUUCCAUCAGCCCUGAGCCCUGAGCCCUGGGCCCUGGCAGUCGGUUUAGACGCACCAGCGGGAAUAGCAUGUCAGAUCCCAGGAUGUCACGCAAGGCCUUCCUCAUUGGCAUCCUCUCCAGUCAAACACUGAGAAAUUAGGGCACUGAAGAAUCCCCCCUAAAAUUAAUGCUUGGAGAGAUUUACUGUAAGGACAAUGUUUGGAGUUAUUAGAAGAAAUUGUUUGCAGAAGUUGCACACGGAUUAUCUGCAGAGAUAUUGCACUUGGGUAAUGAAUGUUCUCUUUUCCCUGGCUGAGAGUGUAUAGUUUCAAUAUAACUUUUAACAUUACAGCAGAAUGUAAGACAAUGUGUGUAUGAUGUGAAAUCAAAAGGGAUGAGAUCAACAUGUGUUCAUACCUUAAUCUAAGUGUGUGUGUGUGUGGUCCGUGUGCGCGUGUGAGUGUGUGUGUGUGUGGUUUGGUCCCUAUUGUACUAUUUAGAGUACUCUGGAGUGUACUGGGCUUCAGAGAAGCACUACAGUGCCCUAAUGUGUGGGCUGCUUACAAGAGAAGCUCUCUGGAUGUCUAUCCUCUGUCAUGUGCAAUUAGUUACUUUAUGAAUAGAACUGACUACUCUAUGCAAAUAAAUGUGAAUGACUCACCCUCUGGCUGUAUUGCAAAUGUUGUUUAAUGUUUGACUGACACAGUGAAAAGAAAGACAUUGUUUGGUGAAGAUUCCAUCCAUUUACUGUAUAUCCAUCAAAUGCUGCGUUUUUCCAAUUACAAAUAUUAUCUGCAUGUGUUCAUAGUGAUCAGGGAAUGUUCUACAUGAAAUGUGUUGGAUACAGUAUUGAAGCAGUCAGAUUAAUAGCCGUCUCAUUGCCUGAUUGUUAUUAUUAUCCUUAUUCAGAGAGAUAGACAGUUUUGAACAUACCUGCAAUAAAGAAAGGGACACAUACUUGUACACUAAAGUCAUACAAAACAUGUUUUUGUAAUUGAGUUCUGACUUGUCAUAACUUCUGUGCUGUUUGAAUUGAAUGUGUAUACAGAAUAAAUAAUUCAA